rnacentral:rRNA from 1 species
UGGGAACGUACCUUUCGGUUCGGAAUAAUACAGGGAAACUUGUACUAAUACCGGAUAAGCCCUUCGGGGGAAAGAUUUAUCGCCGAUAGAUCGGCCCGCGUCUGAUUAGCUAGUUGGUGAGGUAAUGGCUCACCAAGGCGACGAUCAGUAGCUGGUCUGAGAGGAUGAUCAGCCACACUGGGACUGAGACACGGCCCAGACUCCUACGGGAGGCAG